UACGAAGGGGGCUAGCGUUGUUCGGAAUUACUGGGCGUAAAGCGCGCGUAGGCGGUGAUCUUUGUCAGAGGUGAAAUCCCGAGGCUCAACUUCGGAAUUGCCUUUGAAACGGGAUUGCUUGAGUCCGAGAGAGGAUGGCGGAAUUCCUAGUGUAGAGGUGAAAUUCGUAGAUAUUCGGAGGAACACCAGUGGCGAAGGCGGCUCACUGGUCCAUUACUGACGCUGAGUGAGCGAAAGCCAGGGGAGCAAACGGG
rnacentral:rRNA from 1 species